rnacentral:rRNA from 1 species
GACGAACGCUGGCGGCGUGCUUAACACAUGCAAGUCGAACGGAAAGGCCCCUUUGGGGGUACUCGAGUGGCGAACGGGUGAGUAACACGUGAGUAACCUGCCCUUGACUUCGGGAUAACUUCAGGAAACUGGGGCUAAUACCGGAUAGGAAUCCUUGCUGCAUGGUGGGGGUUGGAAAGCUUCGGCGGUUUUGGAUGGACUCGCGGCUUAUCAGCUUGUUGGUGGGGUAGUGGCUUACCAAGGCGUUGACGGGUAGCCGGCCUGAGAGGGCGACCGGCCACAUUGGGACUGAGAUACGGCCCAGACUCCUACGGGAGGCAGCAGUGGGGAAUAUUGCACAAUGGGCGGAAGCCUGAUGCAGCAACGCCGCGUGCGGGAUGACGGCCUUCGGGUUGUAAACCGCUUUCAGCAGGGGCGAAGCUUGUGGUGACGGUACCUGCAGAAGAAGCACCGGCUAACUACGUG